rnacentral:tRNA from 1 species
GGUUUAUAUCAUCUCAUGGCGGAUUGGCGAAUUAUUGGGCCGAGCUGGAUUUGAACCAGCGUAGACAUAUUGUCAACGAAUUUA